rnacentral:misc_RNA from 1 species
GAUGAAGAACGUAGCGAAAUGCGAUACUUGGUGUGAAUUGCAGAAUCCCGUGAACCAUCGAGUCUUUGAACGCAAGUUGCGCCCGAAGCCAUUAGGCCGAGGGCACGCCUGCCUGGGCGUCACACGUCGUUGCCCCCCCAUCUACUCCUUCGGGAUUGCGGGGGGCGGAUGCUGGCCUCCCGUGCGCCUCGUCGCGCGGUUGGCCUAAAUGCCAAGUCCUCGGCGACGCACGCCACGACAAUCGGUGGUUGCGAAACCUCGGUUGCCCGUCGUGUGCGGUCGUCGCGCAUCGAGGGCUCGAAAAAAUUGCCGGGCUUCGGCUCGACUUUCAACGCGACCCCAGGUCAGGCGGGGUUACCCGCUGAAUUUAAGCAUAUCAAUAAGCGGAGGA